rnacentral:rRNA from 1 species
GACGAACGCUGGCGGCGUGCUUAACACAUGCAAGUCGAACGGAAAGACCCUGCUUUUGUGGGGUGCUCGAGUGGCGAACGGGUGAGUAACACGUGAGUAACCUGCCCUUUACUUUGGGAUAACUUCAGGAAACUUGGGCUAAUACCGUAUAUGAGCUCCUGCUGCAUGGUGGUUGUUGUACAGUUUCGGCGGUUGGGGAUGGACUCGCGGCUUAUCAGCUUGUUGGUGGGGUAGUGGCUUACCAAGGCUUUGACGGGUAGCCGGCCUGAGAGGGUGACCGGCCACAUUGGGACUGAGAUACGGCCCAGACGGCUACGGGAGGCAGCAGUGGGGAAGAGUGCACAAUGGGCGGAAGCCUGAUGCAGCAACGCCGCGUGCGGGAUGACGGCCUGCGGGGUGUAAACCGCGUUCGCCUGUGACGAAGCGUGAGUGACGGUAAUGGGUAAAGAAGCACCGGCUAACUACGUG